CCGGGCGACGGUUGUCCCGGUUUAAGCGUGUAGGCUGGUUUUCCAGGCAAAUCCGGAAAAUCAAGGCUGAGGCGUGAUGACGAGGCACUACGGUGCUGAAGCAACAAAUGCCCUGCUUCCAGGAAAAGCCUCUAAGCAUCAGGUAACAUCAAAUCGUACCCCAAACCGACACAGGUGGUCAGGUAGAGAAUACCAAGGCGCUUGAGAGAACUCGGGUGAAGGAACUAGGCAAAAUGGUGCCGUAACUUCGGGAGAAGGCACGCUGAUAUGUAGGUGAAGUCCCUCGCGGAUGGAGCUGAAAUCAGUCGAAGAUACCAGCUGGCUGCAACUGUUUAUUAAAAACACAGCACUGUGCAAACACGAAAGUGGACGUAUACGGUGUGACGCCUGCCCGGUGCCGGAAGGUUAAUUGAUGGGGUUAGCGGUAACGCGAAGCUCUUGAUCGAAGCCCCGGUAAACGGCGGCCGUAACUAUAACGGUCCUAAGGUAGCGAAAUUCCUUGUCGGGUAAGUUCCGACCUGCACGAAUGGCGUAAUGAUGGCCAGGCUGUCUCCACCCGAGACUCAGUGAAAUUGAACUCGCUGUGAAGAUGCAGUGUACCCGCGGCAAGACGGAAAGACCCCGUGAACCUUUACUAUAGCUUGACACUGAACAUUGAGCCUUGAUGUGUAGGAUAGGUGGGAGGCUUUGAAGUGUGGACGCCAGUCUGCAUGGAGCCGACCUUGAAAUACCACCCUUUAAUGUUUGAUGUUCUAACGUUGACCCGUAAUCCGGGUUGCGGACAGUGUCUGGUGGGUAGUUUGACUGGGGCGGUCUCCUCCUAAAGAGUAACGGAGGAGCACGAAGGUUGGCUAAUCCUGGUCGGACAUCAGGAGGUUAGUGCAAUGGCAUAAGCCAGCUUGACUGCGAGCGUGACGGCGCGAGCAGGUGCGAAAGCAGGUCAUAGUGAUCCGGUGGUUCUGAAUGGAAGGGCCAUCGCUCAACGGAUAAAAGGUACUCCGGGGAUAACAGGCUGAUACCGCCCAAGAGUUCAUAUCGACGGCGGUGUUUGGCACCUCGAUGUCGGCUCAUCACAUCCUGGGGCUGAAGUAGGUCCCAAGGGUAUGGCUGUUCGCCAUUUAAAGUGGUACGCGAGCUGGGUUUAGAACGUCGUGAGACAGUUCGGUCCCUAUCUGCCGUGGGCGCUGGAGAACUGAGGGGGGCUGCUCCUAGUACGAGAGGACCGGAGUGGACGCAUCACUGGUGUUCGGGUUGUCAUGCCAAUGGCACUGCCCGGUAGCUAAAUGCGGAAGAGAUAAGUGCUGAAAGCAUCUAAGCACGAAACUUGCCCCGAGAUGAGUUCUCCCUGACUCCUUGAGAGUCCUGAAGGAACGUUGAAGACGACGACGUUGAUAGGCCGGGUGUGUAAGCGCAGCGAUGCGUUGAGCUAACCGGUACUAAUGAACCGUGAGGCUUAACCUU
rnacentral:rRNA from 1 species